rnacentral:rRNA from 1 species
UGCAGUCGACGAUGACCACUUCGGUGGGGAUUAGUGGCGAACGGGUGAGUAACACGUGGGCAAUCUGCCCUUCACUCUGGGACAAGCCCUGGAAACGGGGUCUAAUACCGGAUAUGAGCCUGGGAGGCAUCUCCUGGGUUGUAAAGCUCCGGCGGUGAAGGAUGAGCCCGCGGCCUAUCAGCUUGUUGGUGAGGUAAUGGCUCACCAAGGCGACGACGGGUAGCCGGCCUGAGAGGGCGACCGGCCACACUGGGACUGAGACACGGCCCAGACUCCUACGGGAGGCAGCAGUGGGGAAUAUUGCACAAUGGGCGAAAGCCUGAUGCAGCGACGCCGCGUGAGGGAUGACGGCCUUCGGGUUGUAAACCUCUUUCAGCAGGGAAGAAGCGAAAGUGACGGUACCUGCAGAAGAAGCGCCGGCUAACUACGUGCCAGCAGCCGCGGUAAUACGUAGGGCGCAAGCGUUGUCCGGAAUUAUUGGGCGUAAAGAGCUCGUAGGCGGCUUGUCACGUCGAUUGUGAAAGCCCGAGGCUUAACCUCGGGUCUGCAGUCGAUACGGGCUAGCUAGAGUGUGGUAGGGGAGAUCGGAAUUCCUGGUGUAGCGGUGAAAUGCGCAGAUAUCAGGAGGAACACCGGUGGCGAAGGCGGAUCUCUGGGCCAUUACUGACGCUGAGGAGCGAAAGCGUGGGGAGCGAACAGGAUUAGAUACCCUGGUAGUCCACGCCGUAAACGGUGGGAACUAGGUGUUGGCGACAUUCCACGUCGUCGGUGCCGCAGCUAACGCAUUAAGUUCCCCGCCUGGGGAGUACGCCGCAAGGCUAAACUCAAAGGAAUUGACGGGGCCCGCACAAGCGGCGAGCAUGUGGCUUAAUUCGACGCAACGCGAA